rnacentral:lncRNA from 1 species
UUUCUUCAACCUAGGCUUCUUCCAGAGGAGGAGUGCUGUAUGGUCAGAGAUAUUCACCAGCUAGGAAACUACAGAUAUUCAGGGAACUGGUCUCUUAUUUGCAAAUCAUAAAUCUGCUAGACUCUCCUUCAUGCAUUUUUUUCUUUCACUUUGAACUAUGUGCAAGAGAAUAUGUUCACAAAUGUUCAGGAAAUACAAACCCAACUCACCGUGGAUCAGAUCCUCAAAAGAUUCCAGAGGAGGGCACUAAGGCUGAUAAAUGGGGCUGGAGGGCAUGUCCUGUGAGGAGAGGCUGAGGAUGCAUGCAUUGCCCAGCCUGGAGAAGAGGAGGCCAAGAGAUGCCCUCGCUGCUCUCUGAGGAGGGAAGGCAGGGGAGGUGCUGGUCUCUGCUCCUGGGAACUGGUGCUAUGGUGGGAAUUACAAAUCAGUGCCAGGAGGGAUUUAAACUGGACAUUAGGAAACAUUUAUUUACCAUGAUGGUGGUCAAACACUGAAAUAGGUUUCCUACUGAAGUAGUUGAUACCUCAUGCCUGUCACUGCUCAAGAGGUAUUUGGAUUUAUAUGCUUUAUUUAUAUGCUUUAGUCUUUUGUUAGCUCAAAAGCUGUCAGGCAGUUGGGCUGGCUGAUCACUGAAGGUUCCUUCCAACAAAGCUCUUGUAUUCUAAACCUAAAAUGGUAUAACUUAUCCAUAGCAGAUGCUAACUAAGCAUGAUUUGAGAAAAGAGGUUUUCCUUUUUUUUUUUUUAUGUUUUUCUUGCUCUUUUUCUCUUAGACUUGUGUAUCAUUCUGAGUGCAUGUCAGACUACCAGAGGUUCCUAAUAGCUGCCUUGCUCAAGCAGAUUUAUAAAAAGUCAGCUUAUGCUCUUCCAAACAAAACUUGUAGAAAUAUGGGCUUGUCAUUGGCUAAGAAAAUAAUUCUCACUCAAUUCUUUCAACUUUUGAUGUGUUAGAGGCUUUACAUCUAAACUUCUAAUUUUCUGUACUUACUGUAAAAUUUUACACUUUGAGAUGCUUCUUUCUUGCUAGAAAAUUAAAUUAAAGAUAUGAAACUGUUAUUAUAGUGCUGUAUAGGAAUGCUAAUAACAUGAAGCAUGCAAUUCUUAGGGGAAAAAUUCAAAUAUAGUAGGUGAUUAAGGUGGUAUUACUGGCUGGCAAAUGAAAAAUUACUGCAAACUGAACAGCAGGACGUAAGGACAUUGUGGUGAAUUAUAAACACAUUUGGCACUUGGGUGAAUUUCUUUCUAUGGCACUGUUAUCUAAUUUCAAACACAGUAAUUAAAAUUGGACAAACUU